rnacentral:tRNA from 1 species
AGUCUUAUAUUCAAAAAUGAUUUUAGAUUGCAAAUCUAAAGGUAAAGGUAUCUUUUAAGGCUU